GCAGAAAGAAACAAAGAAAGAGGCGAACAGCUGAAGGUUUUUGUUUUGUUUUUACAAUUUUUGUACGCUAUUUCAUCACUAAAUACACUUUUGAGAAGUUCUGAAGAGAGAAAUCAACUGUGUAGACCAUUGACAGUUUUAGGAAAGUUGAUGACGAGUCCAAAAUGUUUUCAGGAUUGAGAAGCUCCACAAUUGCCCGCGAGGUCAGCGGCCCAAAGAGCCCUCUGGUCCCAGUUACACAGACCACUGCAGCAGCAACGACAGAGGAAAGGCCACAACUGUUUGCAAAGUCCACCACAAAGGGAGUUCCCAUCUCCUAAAAGAAAACACUGAUCCUGAACUGCCAGAAAACAGCUGGACCUUCUGUAACCUAUCUUGUGUCACUAUGUAACACGCGUCAUAACUGGUGGAGAAACACUGACCAGCAGCACACACAGUGACAAGAUGUCCUCCUGCUGCCUGCUAAAUGAGUCGAAUGUUAUUCCUCAUUCAGCGAGUACAUUUCAAAAGUGGCAGAUAAAAUUUUUGAGUGGCAGGCAACAGAAAACUGUUGCCUGCCACAUCGGCAGGCAGAGAAAAAACAAAAUUGUUUCAGACCCUGCAUGGAAGGAUGAAAAAGCUUGGCGGUCUCAACAGCUGCAAUGAUGGAGAUGAGCUACUUUAAAUCUGCCAGGUGGCUGCUCUCAUCUAAGCGUUUAACUUGUAACAGUCACAACAAAGAAGAACAAAGAACAGGCUGCGGAGAGCGAGAGCAAGGACAGACAUUAGGCAUUGAGUAAAAAGUGAAGUAUACCAGCGAACAGUGAGUAAAUGGUUAUACUGUAUGCUUGUGUGUGUGUGUUGUGUGGUAAGGGUGACUGCACAUGUGCUAUAAUCUGACAAUCCAUACUGACAGACGAGCUCAACACAAAGACUAUAAAGAGAGCCAUCGGGCAAAAUUAGCCUAUACUUCCAUAAAGAGACAACUAAUCAAAGGCCUUUCCUCAAGGGCUCUCCGAGGAUUUACUUAAAAUGUCUUCUGAUGUGCUGUUUAGUAGCAAGGCUGAUUAGCUACCUGUCCUGAGAAUCAGACCUAGACAAAAGACAGGAAAAGACUGGACGGAUUAGAAGAGAAAUCAGAGCAGAGAUUGUCUGCAGGCGUAAACACUGGGCUCUUAUGAUGUCAUUUUACUGAGCAAAACAACAGAUGUAAAGUGGACGUUAAGUGAUGCUGCAGAGGGCCUGGUUACAAUCAGAGUUUGUAGUAGUAACACACAACAGAUUUUUAUGGUGUCUUAUUAGUUUAAAUACAUAAAAAAAAUAAAAAUAAAACUGCAAAAGAGACAUAGAGAGAUAAAUGACAGUGGCCCAAAUCUGAACUGGAAAAGAUGGGCUGUUCACUCUGUUUCACUUUGGCCUGCAGUCUGAAUGUAGCCUUAGUCUAUGAACUCAAAACUCUUCUGAGUUCUUCUGCCAGUGUAGACUAAGUAUUUGGUUCUCUCAUUUCUUUGGUAUAAAGCCACAAAGAGCAGAUGGGUUGGUAAACAUGACCUUACUGUGUGCAGUAAGCCUUUUACAGCCUUUUACAUGAUUUAUGAUUAGCAUGUGGUGCCACGGGAAGAAACAUUUUACAUGCAUGGACUGUGAUUAAAGGCUUUUUAAAACUG